UAUGACAAACUCAUUCCAGUACGAAAGGACAGAACGAGUAAGGCCAAUACCCCAAGCAUGCCUCCGCCCAAAGAUAUGAACCCAACUAAACAUCCUAGGGCUAACCCUUUAUAUCCUCCUAGAAAAGGACC
rnacentral:rRNA from 1 species